UACGAAGGGGGCUAGCGUUGCUCGGAAUCACUGGGCGUAAAGGGUGCGUAGGCGGGUCUUUAAGUCAGGGGUGAAAUCCUGGAGCUCAACUCCAGAACUGCCUUUGAUACUGAGGAUCUUGAGUUCGGGAGAGGUGAGUGGAACUGCGAGUGUAGAGGUGAAAUUCGUAGAUAUUCGCAAGAACACCAGUGGCGAAGGCGGCUCACUGGACCACAACUGACGCUGAGGAGCGAAAGCGUGGGGAGCGAACAGG
rnacentral:rRNA from 1 species